AUUGAACGCUGGCGGCAGGCCUAACACAUGCAAGUCGAGCGAGCGGCGGACGGGUGAGUAAUGUCUGGGAAACUGCCUGAUGGAGGGGGAUAACUACUGGAAACGGUAGCUAAUACCGCAUACCAUCAGAUGUGCCCAGAUGGGAUUAGCUAGUGGGUGGGGUAACGGCUCACCUAGGCGACGAUCCCUAGCUGGUCUGGGAGGAUGACCAGCCCCACUGGAACUGAAAAAGGGUCAGGACUCCUACGGGAGGAAGCGGUGGGGAAUAUUGCACAAUGGGCGCAAGCCUGAUGCAGCAAGGCCGCGUGUGUGAAGAAGGCCUUCGGGUUGUAAAGCACUUUCAGCGGGGAGGCGUUACCCGCAGAAGAAGCACCGGCUAACUCCGUGCCAGCAGCCGCGGUAAUAC
rnacentral:rRNA from 1 species